CACGUAGGGUGCGAGCGUUGUUCGGAAUUAUUGGGCGUAAAGGGCGCGUAGGCGGUGCCACAAGUCACCUGUGAAAUCUCCGGGCUUAACUCGGAGCCUGCAGGCGAAACUGUGGUGCUGGAGUAUGGGAGAGGUGCGUGGAAUUCCCGGUGUAGCGGUGAAAUGCGUAGAUAUCAGGAGGAACACCGGUGGUGUAAACGGCUUUCUGGACCAUAACUGACGCUGAGGCACGAAAGCGUGGGUAGCAAACAGG
rnacentral:rRNA from 1 species